CAGCAGCCACGGUAAUACGUAGGUGGCAAGCGUUGUCCGGAAUUAUUGGGCGUAAAGCGCGCGCAGGCGGAUCGGUCAGUCUGUCUUAAAAGUUCGGGGCUUAACCCCGUGAUGGGAUGGAAACUGCCAAUCUAGAGCAUCGGAGAGGAAAGUGGAAUUCCUAGUGUAGCGGUGAAAUGCGUAGAUAUUAGGAAGAACACCAGUGGCGAAGGCGACUUUCUGGACGAAAACUGACGCUGAGGCGCGAAAGCCAGGGGAGCGAACGGGAUUAGAUACCCGAGUAGUCCCUGUCUCUUAUACA
rnacentral:rRNA from 1 species